ACGAAACGUCGGCUGGCUGGUCUCGUAUCAAGAAGGAGGCAUGAUUCUCUCAGUCUCAGUCGUGCCUUUAAAAAAGCUGGACAGCAGGGCUUUCUACGAAGGCUGUUGACUGUUUGACACACAUACAGAUUAUUAAGGCAUCCAGUCAGAAGAUAGACCUCUGAAGAGAAGAAUGACUUCCCAAAUGGAACCAAACGGUACUAGCAGCGUGCAAUACGAUCGCUGGAACGAGGACAACAUCAACAUGAACGUAGAGGGAUCACAGUCCACAAUGAUGAGGAUCUACGACAGGCUGUGUGUCGGCACCACUGGGAACAUAGCGAAGUCAUUUGGAGCUGUGGCUGCACUGGUGUCCAUGUACGCCGUCGGAUACGUGACGGGUUACUACAUCCACACGUGUUCAUGAUGGAGCCGUGCUGACAGAGAGGAGCAGUCCGAGAUUCUGAAUAAACCACAAGGCUGAAAUGUUUGGAGUGUGCUGAUAAUGUGGCGUGUUUUAUAUGGAAGCGAAAGAAAAUCAACUGCGAUUCAGAGGCCUCGUCAUUCUGUGUGACACGAAUGUAAUGUUCGAAUAUAACGUAGCAGGGCCCACAUGUGAAUUCCUCCCUUUGGGGGUUUGAGAGUGUGUGUCCACAUCAUGCUUUCAUAUAUACAUGUAUGUGUACGUUUGUAUAGCCUAUAUGACGUAUAUGUGUGUAAAAAUUCACAAAUUCUGAUGUAAUUAAAGCUUAAGGCUGCGACCGUGCAUCAUUA